rnacentral:rRNA from 1 species
GAUGAACGCCGGCGGUGUGCCUAAUACAUGCAAGUUGUACGCACUGGCCCAAUUGAUUGAUGGUGCUUGCACCUGAUUGACGAUGGAUCACCAGUGAGUGGCGGACGGGUGAGUAACACGUAGGUAACCUGCCCCGGAGCGGGGGAUAACAUUUGGAAACAGAUGCUAAUACCGCAUAACAACAAAAGCCACAUGGCUUUUGUUUGAAAGAUGGCUUUGGCUAUCACUCUGGGAUGGACCUGCGGUGCAUUAGCUAGUUGGUAAGGUAACGGCUUACCAAGGCGAUGAUGCAUAGCCGAGUUGAGAGACUGAUCGGCCACAAUGGAACUGAGACACGGUCCAUACUCCUACGGGAGGCAGCAGUAGGGAAUUUUCCACAAUGGGCGCAAGCCUGAUGGAGCAACACCGCGUGAGUGAAGAAGGGUUUCGGCUCGUAAAGCUCUGUUGUUGGAGAAGAACGUGCGUGAGAGUAACUGUUCACGCAGUGACGGUAUC